AAAUUGAAACAAUGGGGGGAACCCUGAUCCAGCCAUGCCGCGUGUGUGAAGAAGGCCUUUUGGUUGUAAAGCACUUUAAGCGAGGAGGAGGCUACUCUAGUUAAUACCUAGGGAUAGUGGACGUUACUCGCAGAAUAAGCACCGGCUAACUCUGUGCCAGCAGCCGCGGUAAUACAGAGGGUGCAAGCGUUAAUCGGAUUUACUGGGCGUAAAGCGCGCGUAGGUGGCCAAUUAAGUCAAAUGUGAAAUCCCCGAGCUUAACUUGGGAAUUGCAUUCGAUACUGGUUGGCUAGAGUAUGGGAGAGGAUGGUAGAAUUCCAGGUGUAGCGGUGAAAUGCGUAGAGAUCUGGAGGAAUACCGAUGGCGAAGGCAGCCAUCUGGCCUAAUACUGACACUGAGGUGCGAAAGCAUGGGGAGCAAACAGGAUUAGAUACCCUGGUAGUCCAUGCCGUAAACGAUGUCUACUAGCCGUUGGGGCCUUUGAGGCUUUAGUGGCGCAGCUAACGCGAUAAGUAGACCGCCUGGGGAGUACGGUCGCAAGACUAAAACUCAAAUGAAUUGACGGGGGCCCGCACAAGCGGUGGAGCAUGUGGUUUAAUUCGAUGCAACGCGAAGAACCUUACCUGGUCUUGACAUAGUAAGAACUUUCCAGAGAUGGAUUGGUGCCUUCGGGAACUUACAUACAGGUGCUGCAUGGCUGUCGUCAGCUCGUGUCGUGAGAUGUUGGGUUAAGUCCCGCAACGAGCGCAACCCUUUUCCUUAUUUGCCAGCGGGUUAAGCCGGGAACUUUAAGGAUACUGCCAGUGACAAACUGGAGGAAGGCGGGGACGACGUCAAGUCAUCAUGGCCCUUACGACCAGGGCUAC
rnacentral:rRNA from 1 species